UACGAAGGGUGCAAGCGUUAAUCGGAAUUACUGGGCGUAAAGCGUGCGUAGGCGGUGAUUUAAGUCUGCUGUGAAAUCCCCGGGCUCAACCUGGGAAUGGCAGUGGAUACUGGAUCGCUAGAGUGUGAUAGAGGAUGGUGGAAUUCCCGGUGUAGCGGUGAAAUGCGUAGAGAUCGGGAGGAACAUCAGUUGCUAAGGCGGCCAUCUGGAUCAACACUGACGCUGAGGCACGAAAGCGUGGGGAGCAAACAGG
rnacentral:rRNA from 1 species